UUCGCAAUGCCCGAAAGGGUGACGAAGCGACGCCGCGUGCGGGAAGAAGGCCUUCGGGUUGUAAACCGCUGUCGGGAGUUAAGAAGUGCAAGGGUGUUAAUAGCAUCUUUGCUUGACUAAGGCUCCGGAGGAAGCCACGGCUAACUCUGUGCCAGCAGCCGCGGUAAUACAGAGGCGGCAAGCGUUGUUCGGAAUUAUUGGGCGUAAAGAGCACGUAGGCGGUUCUGCAAGUCGGCUGUGAAAGCCUUCCGCUCAACGGAAGAACAGCAGUUGAUACUACAGGACUAGAGUGCGGGAGGGGAGAGUGGAACUUCUGGUGGAGCGGUGAAAUGCGUAGAUAUCAGAAGGAACGCCGGCGGCGAAAGCGACUCUCUGGCCCGUAACUGACGCUGAGUGUGCGAAAGCUAGGGGAGCAAACGGGAUUAGAUACCCCGGUAGUCCUAGCCGUAAACGAUGGGCACUAAGUAGAGGGGUUUU
rnacentral:rRNA from 1 species